rnacentral:rRNA from 1 species
UUGCUCUUCAACGAGGAAUUCCUAGUAAGCGCGAGUCAUCAGCUCGCGUUGACUACGUCCCUGCCCUUUGUACACACCGCCCGUCGCUCCUACCGAUUGAAUGGUCCGGUGAAGUGUUCGGAUCGAGGCGACAUGGGCGGUUCGCUGCCUGUGACGUUGCGAGAAGUCCACUGAACCUUAUCAUUUAGAGGAAGGAGAAGUCGUAACAAGGUUUCCGUAGGUGAACCUGCGGAAGGAUCAUUGUCGAAACCUGCAAAGCAGAAAGACCAGCGGACCCAUUACAACACCCAGGGGUGACCCCAACCCCUGACGCUGAGUGUGUGCAGCCCUGCCUUGCGCCCUCAGCAUAAAACGAACCCAGGCGCGGAACGCGUCAAGGAAUCAUAACGAAACGAGCUCCUGCCGUGGCCCCGGGGACGGUGAUCGCCGCAGCAGCUGUGUUGUGCUUGGUUAAGUCUAAAAUGACUCUCGGCAACGGAUAUCUCGGCUCUCGCAUCGAUGAAGAACGUAGCGAAAUGCGAUACUUGGUGUGAAUUGCAGAAUCCCGUGAACCAUCGAGUCUUUGAACGCAAGUUGCGCCUGAAGCCAUCAGGCUGAGGGCACGUCUGCCUGGGCGUCAAACACCGAUGCCCCCCCAAAUCCCCUCGUCACUCUCCCCUGAGUGCCCGGGGAGUGUGGGGGUCGGAUGAUGGCCUCCCGUGUCUUGGCUCGCGGUUGGCCCAAAGUCGAGUCCUCGGUCACGGUUACCGUGGUGACAGGUGGUUGUCGGUCGCUCGGUACCCCGUCACGUGCGCCGGACACGAAUCGAGACUCUCUUGAUUACCCCAACGCAUCCCCGUUUGGGUGCCUCUGAUGUGACCCCAGGUCAGGCGGGGCUACCCGCUGAGUUUAAGCAUAUCAAUAAGCGGAGGA